rnacentral:rRNA from 1 species
UACGGAGGAUCCAAGCGUUAUCCGGAUUCACUGGGUUUAAAGGGUGCGUAGGUGGAAUGACAAGUCAGUGGUGAAAACCUGCAGCUUAACUGUAGAACUGCCAUUGAUACUGUUAUUCUUGAGUACAUUUGAUGUGAGUGAAUGUGUCGUGUAGCGGUGAAAUGCUUAGAUAUGACACAGAACACCAAUUGCGAAGGCAGCUCACAAAACUGUAACUGACACUGAGGCACGAAAGCGUGGGGAUCAAACAGGG